AUGCUACAACUUCAAUUCAAUUCUUUGUUCAAGAAACAACCUCUAUACAACAUUCUCAACCAUACUUUAACCAAUUCCACACUUAUGAAACAUUAUAGAAUCAAGUGCAACCUCUACAAUUUAAUCUCAAGUGAAAAUCACCUCUUAAGCAAUUUGUCAAACACCUACAUUACACCAAUUUUGACUCAUGAAUUAUGCAAAAAACAACCAAAUAAUAACUCAAGCAUUUCAACAAACACCAUGGCUUCAAGAAUUUGCAACUCAUGUUCUCAAAUAAAAUUCAAUCACAACUUCAAUUAUAUUUCAAUUAGAUGUUCAAUUCAAUUCACAAUUUCAACAUUAACUCAAUUCACAACUUCACCUUAA